UCUCUAUAAGCCCCUCCCCUUCCUCCUCACCGUCGACUCAGAAACGCUACACCGCACACGCAGGCCCGCACCGCGGAGAGGGCUCAGCAAACCCAGGCUUUGUGUUCAUGGACUGGCUUAACAAACCCUAAAGCCCGCGUCGCAGUUAAACGGUAUGGCGUCGGUGGUUAUCAGCGUGCUAUGUCACGUCCGGUUCUCAGCUUUGUGCUCUGUGCGCGUUCACACCGAAGGUGUCGUUUAACGUCGUAUUGUUCUACGUCCGCGCAAAAUGGAGCGAUGCCGGGCAAUAUAUUUCACACAAGAGGAGCAGGAUAUCAUAAUGCAAAGUUAUGAGGAAUAUAGGAAGACAAUCACUGCCAAAAGUAACACUGUCGCCGCCAACAAGGCAAGAGAGGAGUGCUGGCAGAAGAUUGCUGAUCGUGUAAAUGCCUGUGGAAGCAGCUGUCGGACAUGGCAGCAAGUCAGAGCCAAGCACAAAAACAUCAUCCAAAGUGCCAACAGGAAAAAUAAAGAGAAGAGGAAGACUGGAGGGGAGCCAGCUCCUCCAGAAUCCACAGUAGGAUCCACAGCUCCAGAGGAGCCGUGCCUCUCCAACAAUGAGGCUCGAUCGAGGGUCGGCCCAAUUAUAGAGGGGACUGAGGGGGGGCUCGGGAUGGACCCUAGUACUGGCACACAAAAUAACCUGCUACUUCAUGUUGUGGGAGACACCAUGUUGCUGCUGCCGUCAGCACGAUUUCCCUGUGACUCCACCCUAAAGGCUGAAGUCGAUGACCAAGAGGUCUCUGUGUUUUCGGAGAGGCCUGUGAAAGAAGAGGACCUACACCACUCCCCUCAGCCCACGGCCUCUUUGUCUGAACUAGGGUAUGAAAAAAAGUGUCCUGUCAACCACAGUCAUUCAUCCAGACUACAGAUACACUCGGAGCGGUGUUCAAGAGGAACCUGGAGCUGGACAAUGUGAAAAAGGAGCUGGAAAUUAAAAAACUGAAACUGGAGAUUGAACUCUUACAGUUUAAGAAAAAGAUGCAGACAUUGGAAUAAAACAAUAAUAUACAUUCAGUGAAUGUCUCUUUGGUCCUUUAUUUGGUCCCUCACACUGAUGGCCGGGUGAAAUGCUGGGUAGUUAUGGCCUGCCAGAUGGCUUCAUUGGUUGGUUCAGACUUGGGCAAACUGCAGCCUAUAGGCCAGAUACGGCUCACUGGGCUUUCUGAUCCAGCCCGCCAAAUACCACUACAAAUUAUAGUAAUCCUUCUGUUUCAUG